rnacentral:lncRNA from 1 species
UGGAAGUGCUCUCUUAUUUUACGAUUCUUCUUCACAAUGAAACCUUGAGUGCCAGUUGAAGUAGUAUAUGGACUGCAUAUCGACAUGAAAAGGUUAAGAGUUCAUCCUAGUUGGGCUGGUUCAUGAUAUUUGUAGUUCGGCUCAGAAGCCCAAGUGCAAUUUUUCUCAAGAACAUCAUAUGGAUUUUUCCCUACUCCAGGUAUGUUAAGGCUAUCCCUUCUUUCUUUUGGCAUGAUCCAUACGAUAUGAACAAAACCUACAAAUGCACAAAUUCUAUAAGUGACUCUACUCAUAGAAGUAAUAGAAAUACCUAUGUUCUUUAAUUCCCAUGUGUCAUAAUAUUUUAUCAUCUGUUCAUGGAUCUCAGAAAAAUAUGAAAGUUGAAAAGAUGUUACUUUAUGAUAUUGCUUAAGAGGCAAAAUGGUCUUAUGAUAUUCCGAAAGAUUUUAUUACGUAAUUUUCAUGCAUUUCAUACAUGUGCAUUGACCCAUGAUCAGAUGGUGUUAUAUAUGCAUAUAUAUGUAAAUAUAUGUAUAUGGGAUAUAGGAAAAGGUUACGGCGUUAUAUACGCACCACCACCUGAUCAGCUGGUAUAUUAUGAUGAUGUUGCCCACAGUGGCUGAAAUAUGAUUCAAACGGCGUUAUAUAUGCGUAUAUAUGUAAAUAUGAUUCAAACGGCGUUAUAUAUGCAUAUAUAUCUAUGUAUAUAUAUGUAUAUGGGAUAUGAGAAAGGUUAUGGCGUUAUAUAUGCACCACCACCUGAUAAGUUGGUAUACGAUGAUGAUUUUGCCCACAGUGGCCGAUAUGAUAUGAUGGGAUGCCCUCAGAGGUUGAUGAUGUUAUGAAACAUGUACCUAUGCACGAUAUGCAUGAUACUAAAAGUAAUUUAUGAUUUACAAAGUUAUUCAGACUUACAGGUUGAGUCAUGUACUCUAUAUUUCUUCCAUGUCUCUUAUGUACUAAUUUAGGUGCCUUACAUACUCGGUACAUUAUUCGUACUGACGUCCCUUUUGCCUGAGGAUGUUGCGUUUCAUGCUCGCAGGUCUCGAUAAAUAGGUCGAGAGCCCUCCAAGUAGGCUAUCAGCUCAGCGGAAGAUGUUGGUGCGCUCCAUUUGCUUUGGAGUUGCUCGUUUGGUUAAUAUGAUUUAGACGUGUAUUGUUUGGCAUGGCGGGACUCUGUCCCGACGCUUAUGACAUUUAUGUAUUUUUAGAGACUUGUAGACAUAUGUCG